rnacentral:sRNA from 1 species
UUGGUCAGAUGAAAUGAAGUGAAUAUGGGUGUCGAUUGCACCUGCAGUUACUAUUGUAUUUUCGCCAGAAAUAAUUUCUGUGCUUGCACCGAUAACAAGACCUGGAUCAACAUUAUCGUUCAUAUCAGGGUUACCUGACUUUCCGAUUCCUGUAAUAAUACCAUCUCUAAUUCCGAUGUCUGCUUUAUAUAUUCCAGUAUAGUCUAAAAUAAUUGCGUUUGUGAUAACAGUAUCACAAGUACCUGAAGCAUAACUUGCAGUUGACGAUUGAUUCAUACCGUCUC